rnacentral:lncRNA from 1 species
GUGGAUCACCUGAGGUCAGGAGUUCGAGACCAGCCUGGCCAACAUGGUGAAAGUCUCUCUCUACUUAAAAAAUACAAAGUUAGCCAGGCUUGGUGGCACAUACCUGUAAUCCCAGCUAGUCGGGAGGCUGAGGCAAGAGAACUGAUUGAACCUGGGAGGCAGAGUUGCAGUGAGCCGAGAUCGGACCAUUGCACUCCAGCUUGGGCAACAAGAGCAAAACUCCAUCUCAAAAACAGAAAACAAAACAAAACAAAAAACCUAUCAAACUCCAGGAGUAUUAGGAAGAGUAAUCUGAGAUUCUGUCCCCGGUCUGAGGACCCAGGGAGCAUCUAGGAAUGGAGAAGCCAUUCUCUUUUCUGCUUCCCAAACAGGACAGGAAGUCAGUAAGUAGGAUGUGAGGACUNNNNNNNNNNNNNNNNNNNNNNNNNGUGAGGACUCCUGCCCACAAUGUUCCCAUAUGAUUAGCCUAAUUCCUUAUCUUCUCUUCUAUUUUCCAGAUAAACACGAUGAACUUGAAGCUCCCUCAAUGAAAACAGACACCAGAGCCAUCUUUGUCAGCAUCUUCAGCUGCAUCUCCAUCCUUCUCCUCUUCCUCGUCGUCAUUGUCAUCUACAGAUGCAGCCAGAACGGUUCAUCACCUGAAGAAUCCACCAACAGAACCAGUCAUUCCAAACUUCCAGAACGAGAGGCUGCUGGUAAGGGAUAGGGGAAGUCAAGGGGAUAACUAGACAGAAAGACUAAGUUCUGGCCGGGCGUGGUGGC